GACGAACGCUGGCGGCGUGCUUAACACAUGCAAGUCGAACGGAAAGGCCCUGCUUUUGUGGGGUGCUCGAGUGGCGAACGGGUGAGUAACACGUGAGUAACCUGCCCUUGACUUUGGGAUAACUUCAGGAAACUGGGGCGAAUACCGGAUAGGAGCUCCUGCUGCAUGGUGGGGGUUGGAAAGUUUCGGCGGUUGGGGAUGGACUCGCGGCUUAUCAGCUUGUUGGUGGGGUAGUGGCUUACCAAGGCUUUGACGGGUAGCCGGCCUGCGAGGGUGACCGGCCACAUUGGGACUGAGAUACGGCCCAGACUCCUACGGGAGGCAGGAGUGGAGAAUAGUGCACAAUGGGCGGAAGCCUGAUGCAGCAACGCCGCGUGCGGGAUGACGGCCUUCGGGUUGUAAACCGCUUUCGCCUGUGACGAAGCGUGAGUGACGGUAAUGGGUAAAGAAGCACCGGCUAACUACGUG
rnacentral:rRNA from 1 species